rnacentral:rRNA from 1 species
CAUGUCUUUUUGUUGAUAAUUUAAAGUCUGAUCUGCCCACUGAAGUUUUAAAUGGCCGCAGUAAGCUGACUGUGCAAAGGUAGCGUGAUAAUUAGUUUUUUUAUUGGAAACUUGUAUGAAUGAUUUGACGAGGGAAUGGCUGUUUCAAGAUAAUUUAUUUUUGAAUUUAAAUUUUAAGUUAAAAUGCUUAAUUUUUAUUUAAAGACGAGAAGACCCUAUAGAGUUUUAUUUUUCUUUAUUUAUUUUUUUGGUUUUUAUAGGUAAAUAAAAGGUUAGUUGGGGUGAUUGGAGAAUUAAUUAAACUUUUUUUUUUUUUUUCAUUGAUUUGUGUUGUUAUGAAUUAGAUUUAUAGUUUAAGAUUUAAUUACCUUAGGGAUAACAGCGUAAUUUUUUUUCUGAGUUCUUAUUGGGAAAAUGGUUUGCGACCUCGAUGUUGGAUUAAAAUUAAUUUUAGGUGUAGGAGCUUAAAUAUUGAGUCUGUUCGACUUUUAAAAUUUUACAUGAUCUGAGU